AUUGAACGCUGGCGGCAUGCCUUACACAUGCAAGUCGAACGGUAACGGGCCUUCGGGUGCCGACGAGUGGCGAACGGGUGAGUAAUACAUCGGAACGUGCCCGAUCGUGGGGGGUAACGAGGCGAAAGCUUUGCUAAUACCUCAUACGAUCUACGGAUGAAAGCCGGGGACCUCAAGGCCGUGCGCGGACCGAGCGGGCGAUGGCAGAUGAGGUAGUUGGUGGGAUAAAAGCUUACCAAGCCGACGAUCUGUAGCUGGUCUGAGAGGAUGAUCAGCCACACUGGGACUGAGACACGGCCCAGACUCCUACGGGAGGCAGCAGUGGGGAAUUUUGGACAAUGGGCGCAAGCCUGAUCCAGCAAUGCCGCGUGCAGGAUGAAGGCCUUCGGGUUGUAAACUGCUUUUGUACGGAACGAAAAGCCUUCUUUUAAUACAGGAGGGUCAUGACGGUACCGUAAGAAUAAGCACCGGCUAACUACGUG
rnacentral:rRNA from 1 species